rnacentral:rRNA from 1 species
GUGAGGAAUAUUGCGCAAUGGAGGCAACUCUGACGCAGCCAUGCCGCGUGCAGGAAGAAGGCGCUACGCGUUGUAAACUGCUUUUAACCGGGAAGAAACCCCAGGACGUGUCCUGGGUUGACGGUACCGGAGGAAUAAGCACCGGCUAACUUCGUGCCAGCAGCCGCGGUAAUACGAAGGGUGCAAGCGUUAUCCGGAUGCAUUGGGUUUAAAGGGUGCGGAGGCGGAGCGUUAAGUCAGUGGUGAAAUCCUGCAGCUUAACUGUAGACUUGCCAUUGAUACUGGCGCUCUUGAGUGCGCUUGAAGUGGGCGGAAUGUGCCGUGUAGCGGUGAAAUGCUUAGAUAUGGCACAGAACACCAAUUGCGAAGGCAGCUCACUAAGGCGAUACUGACGCUGAGGCACGAAAGCGUGGGGAUCGAACAGGAUUAGAUACCCGGGUAGUCC